ACCUACGGGGGGCAGCAGUGGGGAAUUUUCCGCAAUGGGCGAAAGCCUGACGGAGCGACGCCGCGUGGGUGAUGAAGUCUUUCGGGAUGUAAAGCCCUUUCAGCAGGGAAGAAGACAGUGACGGUACCUGCAGAAGAAGCAUCGGCUAACUACGUGCCAGCAGCCGCGGUAAGACGUAGGUUGCAAGCGUUGUCCGGAUUUAUUGGGCGUAAAGAGAACGUAGGUGGCUAUUUAAGUCUGAGGUGAAAGCCCACGGCUCAACCGUGGAUCCGCCUUGGAUACUGGGUAGCUUGAGGAGCGCAGAGGAAAGUGGAAUUCCCAGUGUAGCGGUGAAAUGCGUAGAUAUUGGGAGGAACACCAGUGGCGAAAGCGACUUUCUGGGCGUUUCCUGACGCUGAGGUUCGAAAGCCAGGGGAGCAAACGGGAUUAGAUACCCUAGUAGUCA
rnacentral:rRNA from 1 species